ensembl:lncRNA
GGCAAAUCCGAAGUCGAGUUUUUAUUGGUUGAGUCGAUUAGGUGGGAUUUCUGAUUGGAUUAGGCCUGGGAUCAGAUCCCAUCCCCGGAAGUGGGAGUGGUUCUGCUCUCAGUCUGGGUCUCGAGCAGCUGUGUGGUAGGACUGUGGAACGGGUAGCGGCCGCCAGCUAAGUCCUUUACACUCUCCGUGCCCUCCGCGCCCUCGGCUCUCCUGGGCCCAGGCGUUCUGUUGAGGUUUCCGGGGUCUCCACCGAGCCAUACCCUCUGCGCUCACCUUCACGGCGUAAGCCACGUGGAGCUGACGUCCUGAGGGCGUCGGGCGGUGGACCAGGCGGUCCUAGGAGAGAUAGGCUGGGGGCCGCUGCCCCGAGCCCAGCUACACCGCCUGGCGGUUGCGGUUCUUCUACUGUCAGCCGCGCUAGGGCACAUCUGGAACCAAAGCUGCAUUUCACUGAGUGUUAAGAGCAGCAGGGCCGGAGAUUUAGCUCGGUGGUUCCGUCGCCUGCCUCUCAAGCGCAAGGUCCCGAGUUCGAUACACGGUGCCAAAAAAGAACAGCAGGCUCCACAGACAGAACCAUUCACUGCUGGGAUCUGGAAAAUGUAAAGUGUACAUGAAAAACAAAACAAAAGCCUGUUUACAAAAUCCCCAGCUUCAUCUGCAGGUCGAAGCCGAACAGUUUAACCUGUCCCCUCUGGGCGUCCCGGGGCUCCCACCCCCUACCCGCCUUAGACCUCGGUGGUUGGGACGUUUUGGGGACGAGGGGGAAGGGCUAUUCAGUAUAGCCCACCUGGUUCUGGCAGGAAGGCGACAGCCUGUGUUAAGACACAGAGCUCGGUGGGCCGGGGAUUUAGCUCAGUGGUUUCGCCGCCUGCUGCGCAAGCACAAGGACCCAAGUUCAAUCCGGGGUACCAAAAAAAAAACAGAGCUCGAGGCGGGGAUGGGCGUCUUGGCAGUAGUAGUCACCAGAAUGUCUUUACUGUAUGUAUAAUCGCCCCGGAUAGUGCUGAGAGUUCACUUUACAGCAUCUAUACGCUGCCCAGGGAUGGACAUGGAACCGGGCCGACCCACUUCCAGGCCUGGUAGGCUGGUGUAGAGCUGCUCCCCUUCCUUCUGGUGUCCUAUCCCCUCUUCAUUCCUGAGAACUCUGGGACGGAUCGCUAUUCCUGAUUUUAUGGAUGAAGAAGUGAAGAGACAGAAAUUAAACAGCCAGCCUGGAGUUACAGAGGCCUUUCAAGCCUAGAAGUGGUGAAUUUCCUGGCAGGACCUAAGAGCAACAGCUGCUUCUGAACUGGGGCCCCAACAGUCCAGAGAACAUGGAUGAGCCCAACUUGGGUGGAGGACAGAAACCUUACUGGAAAGAGGACCUACACCCUAGCCGGCUGCUGACAGCUACCAUCUCUACCCUGUGAAGCCAGAUCCCUUAGACCUUCUGCCUCCUGAUAUGGACUCACACAAGACACUACAGUGAGCUCCAGGCCUCGACUGGAUCCUUCAGAUCUCCAGCACAGAGACAGCCCUUUUGCACUUUUACACACCUGACACUGCAGGCAGCCACUAUGUUUUCCUGCCCUCAGUGCAGUGUGAGGUGCUGCCUUUGCGCCUCCACUGCCGGAUGAACUCCCUGAGUGAGGACCCUGGUAUCGUUUCGUUAAUUCUGCUGCAGCCGAGCCCGGUGGAUGGUGGGUGUAAAAAGCACUGGUGGGAUCAUAAAGGGUGACCGGACUCUCGGGAACCACAGGCUGGCCUCAGCUGCCUACAGACAGAACUGGGGCUGCUGCGCUGGGACCUCUGGGUGCCAGCCUGACCCUGACUGGCCCCCAUCCUGACCCUGACUGGCCCCCAUCCUCCACCCUGUGAGGCCAUGGAGCCAAGGCACCCUGUGUGGUCAGGGUUUGGACGGAGACCGUAGAUAGGGCUGGGCAGUGGGAAGGGUUACCCUCGGGCCCUGUGCAAGCCUUUGACCUCACGGUGACCUGGCUGAGCCCACACAAGGCAGAUGCUUAUGUCUAGAGAUGCUG